rnacentral:rRNA from 1 species
UACAGAGGGGGCCAGCGUUAUUCGGAAUUAUUGGGCGUAAAGGGCGCGUAGGCGGUUUCUUAAGUCUGAUGUGAAAGCCCUGGGCUCAACCCAGGAAGUGCAUUGGAUACUGGGAGACUUGAAUACGGGAGAGGGUAGUGGAAUUCCUAGUGUAGGAGUGAAAUCCGUAGAUAUUAGGAGGAACACCGGUGGCGAAGGCGGCUACCUGGACCGAUAUUGACGCUGAGACGCGAAAGCGUGGGGAGCAAACAGG